UGGCGAAAUUGGUAGACGCACUGGAUUUAGGUUCCAGCGCCGCAAGGUGUAAGAGUUCGAGUCUCUUCGCCCCCA
rnacentral:tRNA from 1 species